rnacentral:rRNA from 1 species
AGUGAACGCUGGCGGUAGGCCUAACACAUGCAAGUCGAACGGCAGCACAGUAAGAGCUUGCUCUUACGGGUGGCGAGUGGCGGACGGGUGAGGAAUACAUCGGAAUCUACUUUUUCGUGGGGGAUAACGUAGGGAAACUUACGCUAAUACCGCAUACGACCUACGGGUGAAAGCAGGGGAUCUUCGGACCUUGCGCGAUUGAAUGAGCCGCUGUCGGAUUAGCUAGUUGGCGGGGUAAAGGCCCACCAAGGCGACGAUCCGUAGCUGGUCUGAGAGGUGGAUCAGCCACACUGGAGCUGGGACAGGGUCCAGACUCCUACGGGAGGCAGCAGUGGGGAAUAUUGGGCAGUGGGCGCAAGCCUGAUCCAGCCAUCCCGCGUGGGUGAAGAAGGCCUUCGGGUUGGAAAGCCCUUUUGUUGGGAAAGAAAAGCAGCAGGUUAAUACCCCGCUGUUCUGACGGUACCCAAAGAAUAAGCACCGGCUAACUUCGUG